AGCUGCCUCCUGCACGCCUCCCACUGGGGAUGUGCCCGCAACCAAGGUACGUGCCCUUGUCCGGAAUCGAACCUGGGACCCUUCAGUCCCCAGGCCGGUGCUCUAUCCACUGAAUCAAACCGGUUAGGUCAUCCCCCUCUUCUGGGCUUUGUGAAUCUGAGGUUGGGACUCUGAAAACCACUUUCGCUUCGCCCACCGGCUGUGCUGCACUUGGCCAGGAGGGGGCGCCAACGAGACCCGACGCCCGGAGGACGUGAAGGGGACGCGCUCCUUCCUGUGGGCUCUCUGCUCAUUUCCCGUCAGUUUCUGGUUCCCACCAGCGUCACCCAGCAGUGUUUUCACCCUGGCUGAGGCGGUUCCUUCUCGUAACCGCUGGUGGAAAAUGGGACUCCAGUUAUCCCUGGACACAUGGGCCCUUAGAGCAGCGGUUCUCAACCUGUGGGUCGCGACCCCUUCGGCGGCCCAACGACCCUUUCACAGGGGUCGCCCAAGACCCUCCUGCAGGUCAGAUAUGGACGUGACGAUUCAUCACAGUAGCCACAUGACCGUGAUGAGGUAGCAACGGAAAUAAUUUUAUGACUGCUGCUCCGGGAGAAGUGAGCUGGCAUGAGAAGCUGAGCCCCCGGCCCGCAGCCAUGAGAGCGAGCCUUCCCGCCCCAGUCACGCCUUCAGAUGACUGCAGCCCCAGCUCCCAUCCUGCAAACUCGUGAGGACCCUGAGCCAGAGCCAUCCAGCUAAGCUACUCCCAGAUUCCUGGCCUUCAGAAAUUGUGAGAUCAUACACAGCUAUUGCUUUGAGCAGCUAAGUUUUGGGGAUAAUUCUUUGCACAGCAAUAGGCAAUGACCUAGGAAAAAUUACCCUAAAAAAAGGUUGGUUGACUGACGCAGACUGCAUCCUAGAACCUUCUUUUACCCCCUACCUUCUUUCCAAAGACCUGGCCCACCAUCAGCAUCUCCCUGGGAUGGAGACGCCUGUGAGCUGAGGACGGCAUGGUGUGCAUCCAAAUUACUGACCAUCUUUUGGUGCCAAAAAGGAGACAGAGUUCAUGCCAGCAUGAGGGGCCAUUUAUUGUUCCGGGUUAGGGCCCCCACGUUUGGGGGGAGUCCCCCCACUACUUCCUCCUCCCAUUGUCCCCGUGGACCCCUCAAGUGGCAGGUUGCUGAGUUGAUCAUGGAGGGAGCACAUCUUCAAGUGUAGAUAGUCCAGGGAGGCCACCUUCUCCCUGCAAUGACAGGCAGUGGGCGGUCGGUGCUGGUGGGCCCAGGUGCCACGGGGCUGGUAGAGGGGGAGACUCAGGCCCGACCCCCAAGACCUCACCCUCCUCCCAUGCCCUCAGCCUCCUUCCUCACUCCGGCUUCAUCUUGUCCGUCAGCAGCAGGUUCUUGGCCCGCAAGGCUUCGUCUUGGGCCAGGCGAAGGGUGGAGCUCAGGGCCUCUGCCCUGACGUGCUUGGCCAAGGCCUGGCGCUCCAGCUCCUGGGGAGAGGAGUGUAGGCGCCGCUGGGCUUGCCUGACUGGGCUGGGGGUGGAGGGAGCUGGGUCGCGGAGGGCCAGGGGCAGGGGCCCAUGGGGCCCACAUUCCUCCCUCAAGGUACCCUAUCAUGCCUCCAGCGGACCCCAGCGUCCCACAAUGCCCUGGCCUUCCAAACGCCCCUGUGUGCUGAACCUGGGUCUGCCCCUCCGCCUGUCCCCGGCGCCCUGGCCUUCUGUGUCCCAGCAAACACUAAACCGGCAUCCGUCUUAGUUUCCCCAAAUGCCCACGGAGCAUGAUGCCUUGGAUGUGUGUUUGGCCCCCAGAAUCCCUCACGUGGUGGCCUUCUGCAUCCCCUAAGACCUCCCGUCUCCUUAGCUACCGACCAGCAUCUCUGUCACAACAGUGGUCCUCCGUGCUCUGGUCCCCUGUGUCCCAGCAUGCACCGGGCCCCUUGGCCCAGAGCUCUGCCACACCAAUGUCCCUCACUGCCUCGCUCGUCUGUCUCACCCGCUACAACUUCUAUCGUCAGGCCGGAGCCCGUAAGACAUCAGCUCCCUGCGUACACUCCAUCAGGACGGAAAGUUCCAUUAGCUGUUGGGCUUGAAGUCGGUGGUGCCACGGCCCAGGCAGAGCUGUGGCCCCACUUCCCAAAAUGCACUAGUUUACUGCGACGUGCGUUCCCUGGCCGACCUCAGCGACCCCGUGUAAUAUGUGGCCUCUCUUAAGCCCCACAGAAAACCAGGUUUGCAUCCUACGAAGCUGUAGAUGUGUCUGUCUCCUGUGUCUCAGUGCCCCAUACCCAGUGUCCCAUCAUGCUCUGGGCAAUGUCCGCCACCAAGGUUCCCUAACAAUUGACCAACGGAGCCCUAGCCGGUUUGGCUCAGUGGAUAGAGUGUCUGCCUGCGGACUGAAGAGUCACCGGUUCGAUUCCGGCCAAGGGCACAUGCCUGGGUUGCAGGCUCGAUCCCUCAUAGGGGGUGUG